CUUCCAAAGGCAGCUGUCAACAUCUGGGCCUGCAUUUAGGGCCAGACAUGGGGGUGGAGCUUGGUCCACAAUGACUCAGCUCUCUUGGGA
rfam:Myotis davidii contig227608, whole genome shotgun sequence.